GCCUGGGGGGCUCAGUCGGUUGAGCAUCUGAGUUCAGCUCAGGUCAUGAUCUCACGGUUCGUGGGUUCGAGCCCCACGUCGGGCU
rfam:Felis catus isolate Cinnamon breed Abyssinian chromosome B3, whole genome shotgun sequence.